CCUCCCUCUGCGUUCUAGGAGUGUGACCACUCCGACAACGAGCGGCUGGAAGGGACUGAGAUUGAGGAGUUUCUGCGGCGACUGCUGAAACGCCCGGAGCUGGAGGAGAUCUUCCAUCGGUACUCGGGCGAGGACCGCGUGCUGAGCGCCCCCGAGCUGCUGGAGUUCCUGGAGGACCAGGGCGAGGACGGCGCCACGCUGGCCCACGCCCAGCAGCUCAUCCAGACCUAUGAGCUCAAUGAGACAGCCAAGCAGCACGAGCUGAUGACACUGGAUGGCUUCAUGAUGUACCUGUUGUCACCAGAGGGGGACGCCCUGAACCCCGCCCACACGUGCAUGUUCCAGGACAUGGAUCAGCCCCUCGCCCACUACUUUAUCUCCUCCUCCCACAAUACCUACCUCACCGACUCCCAGAUUCAGGGGCUCAGCAGCACUGAGGCCUACGUUAGAGCCUUCGCCCAGGGAUGCCGCUGUGUGGAGCUGGACUGCUGGGAGGGGCCAGGAGGGGAGCCCGUCAUCUACCAUGGCCACACGCUCACCUCCAAGAUCCUUUUCCGAGAUGUGGUCCAGGCCGUGCGUGACCAUGCCUUCACGCUGUCCCCAUACCCUGUCAUCCUCUCCCUCGAGAACCACUGUGGGUUGGAACAGCAGGCUGUCAUGGCCUGCCACCUCCGCACCAUCCUGGGGGACAUGCUGGUGACACAGGCACUGGACUCCCAGAACCCCGAGGAGCUGCCAUCCCCAGAGGCCAAGCAGAUCUCCCCGGAACUGUCGGCCCUGGCCGUGUACUGCUGUGCCACGCGCCUUCGGACCCUGCGCCCUGCCCCCGUCCCACCCCAGCCCUACCAGGUCAGCUCUCUCAGCGAGCGCAAGGCCAAGAAGCUCAUUCGAGAGGCAGGGAACAGCUUUGUCAGGCACAAUACCCGGCAACUGACCCGUGUCUACCCAUCGGGGCUUCGGAUGAACUCGGCCAACUACAGCCCCCAGGAGAUGUGGAACUCAGGCUGUCAGCUGGUGGCCCUGAACUUCCAGACGCCAGGCUACGAGAUGGACCUCAAUGCGGGGCGCUUCCUCGUCAACGGGCAGUGCGGCUAUGUCCUGAAACCUGCCUGCCUGCGGCAGCCUGACACAAACUUUGACCCCGAGAGCCCUGGACCCCCCAGAACUACUCUCACCAUCCAGGUGCUGACUGCACAGCAGCUGCCCAAGCUGAAUGCUGAGAAGCCGAGCUCCAUUGUGGACCCCCUGGUGCGUGUUGAGAUCUACGGGGUGCCCAUGGACUGUGCUCGAAAGGAGACCGACUACGUGCUUAACAAUGGCUUCAACCCCCACUGGGGGCAGACCCUGCAGUUCCAGCUGCGGGCUCCAGAGCUGGUGCUGGUCCGGUUUGUGGUAGAAGAUUAUGACACCACGUCCCCCAAUGACUUUGUGGGCCAGUUUACACUGCCUCUCAACAGCCUGAAGCAAGGGUACCGCCACAUCCACCUGCUUUCCAAGGACGGGGCCUCACUGUCACCAGCCACGAUCUUCGUCCACAUCCGAGUCCAGCACUCCCGAGGGCCCGACUGACCCCCUGCGGACACAGCUGCGAGCAGCGAAACCAGUGAGAUGUAUCAAGCGGAACAAUGCAUUUGGUAUUUCUUCCCCCGCCCUGGGAACGGGGGCUCUCCCAUAGCCCAGAGAAAAGCCAAGACGAAAAGCUUCGGGGACAGCAGAAUGAACCUCUGGCCAACCUCACCCAAACCCACAGCCUCCAACAGCUCUGCUAGCCUGUAGGGCAUGGCUGUAGCCGGUAAGACCAGACUGAGUCUGGCCUCCUGGCUAAGACUUCCUUCCCCCUACAAGUAGCUGAGAGGUGAAAGCAGCCAGGAAGCAGUCACACCACGUUAUCCACCCACUUCCUUUGUCCUAGAGCAAAAGUCACAUACAAACCUGGAUGUGGGUUGCUGACAAUUCCAACCAAAUCCUCCCUAAGUCAGUUGGCUGAGCACACGUGAGGAAUAGGAAUGCCUACACAGCCGCCACGUGACCGGAGGUCCCACUACUGUGGGGAAACGGGCAGCAUCACAACCAUCACCACCACCACCACAAAAAUCCACCGAACAUCAUCAGACAAUGGCAACAUGAAAUCAUGUCUGUUAAGUUCAGAUUGGCGUCUAACCACCGCUCCUUGCCAUUCCUCGCAGGCUGUCUUGGAAAGGAGCACAAGAGAUGGCCAAUGGGUUGGAAGGCACAGGCCAGGGGCCUGGGAACCCACACCGUCCUUGCCCAGCCACCCUGGGGGCGUGAGGGUGCUGGCUCUUUGCUCUAAGAUGAGCUAACCAGGCCUUGCACUGACAUGGUCUCCACAAAGUCCCAAAUGCUACAAGGAGGUCAAAGGUCCCCUUCAAACUGCCAGUCACCCCUGGAAAUGGAAAAACAAUCUCAUGGGGCACUCACGCCUAUAAGAUUGGCAACAGCUGGCUAAAGAGUUGGCAGGAUGACUUCCAACAGGGAGCAGGCCAAGCGGAUGGGAGAAGGGACUCAUUUAAUGAAAUCUGCUUCCACAGAUCACCACCACGGCCCUGUUUCUGAAUGCAGAAAAGGCCCGGGCCUGCGGGUAAGCCUCUGAGUAGGACUGGCUCCACCUAGGACUCCACCUGCAGUCUGUGAGAUCCAGGCCCUCCCCACAGCUUGGCAGUCCCUCCACCUUACUCUGCCUUCUCAAAGCCAAUCAUUCCAGCCAAUUCAGAAGGGGAACUGGACAGAACUGCCCACAUCCUCUUUCUCCUGCUCCCCCAAGAAAAGCCAAUACCUGCUUUCAGAAGAGAACAAUGCACUGUCGCAAUGUGUACGUCUGGCACUGUCCUUGAUUCUAAUUUUCAGGAAUGAUCUGAAUUCAGCUUUUCAUUAGAGACCGAACAUCCUUGUACAUUUGGAACAUGAAAGAUAUUUAAAAUAUUUAUAUAUAUA